UAAUAGUGUGAAUGUCUACAAACUAAGGAUUCUCAUUAGCUGUAUCUUGUCAAUCGGUUUUAUCUUUUGAUCAGCUCAAUGCAAUGUGAUAUAGAGGACAAAAAUCUGGAAAACAACUUUCACUUUUAUGAUGUACUUGGAGUGGAAGCAACAGUUAAACAGUAGAGCCUGUGAGAGGAAGUCAAUUACAUGGUUCAGUUUGAAAACCCUUUUUUAGCACAUAUUCCUUUCAAAAAGAGACUCACUUGUAGACAGCGCUGGGCAUGUAAAAUACAUAACUAAGGGGACUGGUGUGGUGACCUGAGUCCUCUUAGUAAUGUACACUGCAGCAGUACUUCAGGUUACACCAUCACGCAGAUGUGGCUGCAAGUUGUGAAACCCCAGUCACCCAUGGCUGCCUCUAGCUCGGUGUAAUGAGAUAUAAAUAACCACUGGUUUCCUAAUCUGGUUGUUAUAGAAACCUUCCCCCCAUAUUAUUUAAACACCUUGUUAAAAGUAGUUGUGCUGCUUUUGUGAAGCGGUUAGGUUUUGGCAUAACAGGGUCACACACAGAUCCACAGAGAGCAGAAAAAUAGUAUUGAAUUUAAAACAGAUCAACCAGCAUUUAAAGAUCUUGCAUUUAAGUAGCUUGCUGUAAAUCUUCAGUCCACAUUUACACCUAGUAUUUUUUUUUUUUAAUUCUUUCUUGAAAAAGUAAAGUAAGACAUGCUAGGCAGAAGAGAAAGCAGAGGCAUGUUUCUGCUCAGCCAUUUGCUGCUCUGUAUGAUGGAGCUGCAUUGGCUCCAUCCAGCUGGCAGCACCUUCACUUGAACCACAACAGCAGCAGGUAAUUGUAACAGAACACUCCCUGUCAAAACAAGCGAGAUUUACUACGCCAGUGGAUAAUGAAAUGGAACAGCUCAUGCAAGCAAUAAAGAAAAAGCACUGCCGGAAAGAUGGAAAGGC
rnacentral:lncRNA from 1 species